rnacentral:tRNA from 1 species
GCCUAACUGGCUCAGCUGGUGGAGCAUAAGACUCUUGAUCUUGAGGUUGUAAGUUCAAGCCUCACGUUGGGUA